ACAUGCAAGUCGAACGAGGGUCCUUCGGGGCCUUAGUGGCGCACGGGUGCGUAACGCGUAACCAACCUGCCCUGAACUGGGGGAUAGCCCGCCGAAAGGCGGAUUAAUACCGCAUAAACCAGCAAGCUGGCAUCAGCUAAUUGGUAAAGAUUUAUUGGUUCAGGAUGGGGUUGCGUAGCAUUAGCUAGUUGGCGGGGUAACGGCCCACCAAGGCGACGAUGCUUAGGGGACCUGAGAGGGUGAUCCCCCACACUGGCACUGAGAUACGGGCCAGACUCCUACGGGAGGCAGCAGUAGGGAAUAUUGGGCAAUGGACGAGAGUCUGACCCAGCCAUGCCGCGUGCCGGAUGAAGGCCUUCUGGGUUGUAAACGGCUUUUCUCAGGGAAGAAAAAGGGUGUGCGCACUCAACUGACGGUACCUGAGGAAUAAGCACCGGCUAACUCCGUGCCAGCAGCCGCGGUAAUACGGAGGGUGCAAGCGUUGUCCGGAUUUAUUGGGUUUAAAGGGUGCGUAGGCGGCCCGUUAAGUCCGGGGUGAAAGCCCACAGCUCAACUGUGGAACUGCCCUGGAUACUGGCGGGCUUGAGUCCAGACGAGGUUGGCGGAAUGGAUGGUGUAGCGGUGAAAUGCAUAGAUACCAUCCAGAACCCCGAUUGCGUAGGCAGCUGACUAGGCUGGUACUGACGCUGAGGCACGAAAGCGUGGGGAGCGAACAGGAUUAGAUACCCUGGUAGUCCACGCCGUAAACGAUGGAUACUCGCUGGUGGCGAUAUAGUGUCACUGGCUUAGCGAAAGCGGUAAGUAUCCCACCU
rnacentral:rRNA from 1 species